AUACGGAGGGUGCAAGCGUUACUCGGAAUCACUGGGCGUAGCGCGCGCAGGCGGGCUGAUAAGUUGGAUGUGAAAGCCUACGGCUCAACCGUAGAACUGCAUCCAAAACUGUCAGUCUAGAGUCUGGGAGGGGAAGAUGGAAUUAGUUGUGUAGGGGUAAAAUCCGUAGAGAUAUCUAGGAAUACCAAAAGCGAAGGCGAUCUUCUGGAACAGUACUGACGCUGAGGUGCGAAAGCGUGGGGAGCAAACAGGAUUAGAAACCCUAGUAGUCC
rnacentral:rRNA from 1 species